rnacentral:rRNA from 1 species
CGAAAUUCCUUGUCGGGUAAGUUCCGACCCGCACGAAAGGCGUAACGAUCUGGAUGGUGUCUCAGAGAGAGACUCGGCGAAAUAGGAAUGUCUGUGAAGAUACGGACUGCCUGCACCUGGACAGAAAGACCCUAUGAAGCUUUACUGUAGCCUGUAAUUGAAUCCGGGCUGAGCUUGCGCAGGAUAGGUGGGAGGCGUUGAAAUUGCCCUUGUGGGGGUAAUGGAGCCAACGGUGAGAUACCACUCUGGCGCAGCUAGGAUUCUAACUUGGAGCCGUUAGCCGGCACAAGAACCGUUGCAGGUGGGCAGUUUGACUGGGGCGGUCGCCUCCUAAAUGGUAACGGAGGCGCGCAAAGGUUCCCUCAGCACGCUUGGAAACCGUGCAUAGAGUGUAAAGGCAUAAAGGGAGCUUGACUGCAAGAGUUACAACUCAAGCAGGGACGAAAGUCGGCCUUAGUGAUCCGACGGCACUGAGUGGAAGGGCCGUCGCUCAACGGAUAAAAGGUACUCCGGGGAUA